CAAGUUUGAUUCUGGCUUAAUGAUUUGCUUUUAUUAUUUUGUACAUGAUAAUAUAUGUGUUCCUAUCUUAUUUAAAAAAUCUUAAGGAUAGUUUAUUUUUUAUUAAUUAAAAUUAAAAUUUAAGGUGGCUUCAGUACUAAAAUUUAAAUAAAAAUCGAUAGAUUGUUUUAGUAAUUAUAAAAAGAGUUGGAAAAUUUUGUGCCAGCUUCCGCGGUUAUACAAAAAACUCUAGUAAAUUUUUUUAGUUGAAAAGAUUUUUAAUUGAUUUAUUGAUAAAAAAAUACUUUAUUAUAGGUAAAAUUAAUAAUUAAGUUGUUUUUAUUUUUAUCUAAUUAUUUCAUUGAAUAAAUAAAUUUUUGGUUAAAAACUAGGAUUAGAUACCCUAUUAUUCCUUAAUAGAAUUUUUGAUUUUUUUUUCUACUUUAGUAUUAUGAGAGUUCUUAAAACUUAAAGAAUUUGGCGGUAUUUUAUUUUUUUCUAGGGGAAUCUGUUCUUUAAACGAUAAUCCACGCUUUAGUUAACUUAAUUUUGUGUUAAAUUCAGCUUGUAUACCUCCGUCGUCAGCCUGUCUUAAAAUAGAAUAAAAACAGGCAAUUUAUUAUUAUUGAUAAUACGUCCGGUCUAAGUGCAGUAUAUGAUUAAGUAGAAAUGGAUUACAUUUAUAUUUUUGUUUGGAUAAAAUUUUGGAAAUAUUUUUGAAAUUGGACUUAGAAGUAAUUUAAUAUUAAUAUAAUUUUUUGAAAUUAACUCUAAAAUGUGUACACAUCGCCCGUCGCUCUUGUCUAUAAGAUAAGAUAAGUCGUAACAUAGUAAAAGUAGUAGAAGCUGUUUUUAGUUU
rnacentral:ncRNA from 1 species